AAGUGAUAUUUUUAAAUAAAAUGUGCUUAUUCAACGUAUUAUUCUUAAAAAAAAUGCAUUGUAAUGUGAUAAAACACUUCUCCUUUAAAAGUCCGAAUUUUUCCUUUUCAUUUAAAUAAGCUUAAAAUUCUGUUAAAAUGUGUCGUUUUCCGCCCAUUAAAAGCUGCUGUAAGUCCCAACUAAGCUGCGUCGAGCAGAGUAGUAAUGGCGCAUAUAAGGCUCUCGUUGAGGAAAAGGAGGUCAACAACGACGGCAAUAUUUCUUCUUCCAUUUUGUGAGAAUGCCUUCUUCAUGAAAGAAAGUCCCCCUCAAAUGUCUCCUCCCGCCUCCCAGUUCGCUUUGCAACGCGACAAACACGUCCGAAAAGCCGGCGAUCCUGACAAAAUAUUUCCCCCGAUUGAUUCCUAUUGCACUAGCCGCCUUGUAUAGUAAUACAUUGGGUCUGUGCUGUGUCUAUGAGCGGGCUGUGCUACUGACUGGGUUUCUAUGAGCUCCUAAUGGCCGCUCGUCUUCAUCCACUAACAUGGAGAAUAUGGCUCCUUCUCUUUGUGUCAGCGCACAGCCAUUGCACUGCAUGCAAUAGAGGGCAGAGCGACCGCGGCGACUACUUCGUUUCAAGCCCCGAUUUCAACCCUUUGCAAACGUCGGAAAAAUACCCCGGUGGCGUCAUUCGAUUCACGAAAGACUGAACUUUAUUUUGCCGCGGUUAAAUUUAAUAGUUGUCGGUUUAUUUCUCGAGAAAAGCCGGCCAGAAAAAGUUGAAGCGAACUGCGCCUCUGUCCCUGGCUUCCCAUUUGCCUCGCUGCCUUGUUUCCUAUGCGAAUACAGUCAGCCAUUACAGUAAAGCGCAGAUCGUGAGUUUUCACAUGACAGGCGUUCAGCUUCGCAAUGCACUGCAAUGGCUAGCUAACGGUGGAGUCCAGCUGACGCCGUCAUUCAACGAAGGGG